AUUGAACGCUGGCGGCAGGCCUAACACAUGCAAGUCGAGCGGAGCGGCGGGCGGGGGAGUAAUGCCUAUGAAUCGGCCUGGUAGUGGGCGUUAACGUACGGCAACGGGCGAUAAUACCGCAUAUUAUCAGAUGAGUCUAGGUCUGAUGAGCUAGUUGGUGGGGUAAAGGCUUACCAAGGUGACGAUCCGUAACUGGUCUGAGAGUAUGAUCAGUCACACUGGAACUGAGACACGGUCCAGACUCCUACGGGAGGCAGCAGUGGGGAAUAUUGGACAAUGGGCGAAAGCCUGAUCCAGCCAUGCCGCGUGUGUGAAGAAGGUCUUCGGAUUGUAAAGCACUUUAAGUUGGGAGGCGUUACCAACAGAAUAAGCACCGGCUAACUUCGUGCCAGCCGCCGCGGUAAUUC
rnacentral:rRNA from 1 species